rnacentral:rRNA from 1 species
UACGUAGGGUGCGAGCGUUGUCCGGAAUUACUGGGCGUAAAGAGCUCGUAGGUGGUUUGUCGCGUUGUUCGUGAAAACUCACAGCUUAACUGUGGGCGUGCGGGCGAUACGGGCAGACUGGAGUACUGCAGGGGAGACUGGAAUUCCUGGUGUAGCGGUGGAAUGCGCAGAUAUCAGGAGGAACACCGGUGGCGAAGGCGGGUCUCUGGGCCUUACCUGACGCUCAGGUGCGAAAGCUAGGGGAGCAAACAGG